CGGUGGAUGAUGUGGUUUAAUUCGAUGCAACGCGAAAACCUUACCCACCUUUGACAUGUACGGAACCCUUUAGAGAUAGAGGGGUGCUCGCAAGAGAGCCUGGACACAGGUGCUGCAUGGCUGUCGUCAGCUCGUGUCGUGAGAUGUUGGGUUAAGUCCCGCAACGAGCGCAACCCUUGCCAUUAGUUGCUACGAAAGGGCACUCUAAUGGGACUGCCGGUGACAAACCGGAGGAAGGUGGGGAUGACGUCAAGUCCUCAUGGCCCUUAUGGGUAGGGCUACACACGUCAUACAAUGGCCGGUACAGAGGGCUGCCAACCCGCGAGGGGGAGCCAAUCCCGUAAAACCGGUCGUAGUCCGGAUUGCAGUCUGCAACUCGACUGCAUGAAGUCGGAAUCGCUAGUAAUCGCGGAUCAGCAUGUCGCGGUGAAUACGUUCCCGGGUCUU
rnacentral:rRNA from 1 species